rnacentral:rRNA from 1 species
ACGCUCGACACCUACGGGAGCAGCAGUGGGGAAUAUUGCACAAUGGGGGAAACCCUGAUGCAGCGACGCCGCGUGAAGGAAGAAGUAUUUCGGUAUGUAAACUUCUAUCAGCAGGGAAGAAACUGACGGUACCUGACUAAGAAGCACCGGCUAAAUACGUGCCAGCAGCCGUGGUAAUCUGAGGCGGGCUGGCAAGGC